rnacentral:rRNA from 1 species
UGAAGUAGGGUCCCAAGGGUAUGGCUGUUCGCCAUUUAAAGUGGUACGCGAGCUGGGUUUAGAACGUCGUGAGACAGUUCGGUCCCUAUCUGCCGUGGGCGCUGGAGAACUGAGGGGGGCUGCUCCUAGUACGAGAGGACCGGAGUGGACGCAUCACUGGUGUUCGGGUUGUCAUGCCAAUGGCACUGCCCGGUAGCUAAAUGCGGAAGAGAUAAGUGCUGAAAGCAUCUAAGCACGAAACUUGCCCCGAGAUGAGUUCUCCCUGAGACUUUAGGUCUCCUGAAGGAACGUUGAAGACGACGACGUUGAUAGGCCGGGUGUGUAAGCGCAGCGAUGCGUUGAGCUAACCGGUACUAAUGAACCGUGAGGCUUAACCUUAC